rnacentral:rRNA from 1 species
UACGUAGGGGGCUAGCGUUGUCCGGAAUCAUUGGGCAUAAAGAGCGUGUAGGCGGCCCGGUAAGUCCGCUGUGAAAGUCGGGGGCUCAACCCUCGGAUGCCGGUGGAUACUGUCGGGCUCGAGUACGGAAGAGGCGAGUGGAAUUCCUGGUGUAGCGGUGAAAUGCGCAGAUAUCAGGAGGAACACCUAUUGCGAAGGCAGCUCGCUGGGACGUUACUGACGCUGAGACGCGAAAGCGUGGGGAGCAAACAGG